rnacentral:lncRNA from 1 species
CACAUUUUUGUGUGAUCAUACUGUUGACAAAAUUCUUUCCCAGAGGUAUUCGAAGAAGAAGCCGAGAGUUACUCACUUUGUGUUCUGGAGCCGGUGUGAGGACGGGCUGCAUCAGGGUGAUUUAUAAUCUCGGUCUAAUACUUCAGGUCAGACUACUAGGCUCACGAAAUGGGGAGCUUCAUAGCUUAUCCCUGACACUUAAUGUUUUGAAUUUUUAAAGACUCCAUAGAUAUUUUUAUGAAUUUAAUAAAUGGUUCUCUACUCUAAUGCAUUGUAUUAAUUUGACCAAAAAGAUUGAGUUUGAAUUUUUAUUUUUGUGAUUCCUUUCAGAUUUCUUGUUACCUGUGAAAUGUUUCUACUUUCCUCCCUAUUUUAAGAAUAAAGGACUAAGACUGUUUUUCUUAGCUUUAUACUAAAGCAUCUUUGAGGGAAAACAAUAAGGAGUUACGUAAUACUUGGAAGUAUGACUCUCAACUUUUUGCAGAACUGCUUGCUUUCUGUGCUCAGUCAGAAAUCCACAGACAAAUAAUGCCUAUUCUAUGUUUGUUUAUAUAUUUGUUGUUUCUUUUUGUCCUAGCCCCCAUUUCCUCUUUCUUCUUUUUAAUCUUAAACUUCUCUUCUUAUACUUACUAGCCUGGAUUGGCGAGGCCUGAUGUCACUCAGUGCAGCAUGGUGAAGCACCCUUGAAAAUGAGUGGUGUCCUGGUUCGUUGGCUGGUCAGAACAUCAAACAAGGUCGAGUUUGGACGGGAUGGUAUGUCAACAUAAAAACCAUCUGGCAAGACCUUCUUAUUACCACCAUGACCUCUUGGGACCAUCAGGAUCCCAAGGUUUGUCUCCAAGGGAAGGCUUGGUGGGAAGGUGUGGGUAAGCCUGAGCCCACACGAAUAUGCAGAAACAGGGGCUGCAAAAAGGGCAGGCACACUUGUGCAGAGACCAGCCCACAGAACAAGGCCUGAAAAGUUGUCUGCCAGAUGGGUUACAGUCAAGAGCUGAGACAAAGGAGAAGUGGGGAAGGUGGCCACAGAGACCACGUGUUGAGAUCUCCGGUUGAGACUGAUGUUCAGUGAGAAGAAGAUGAAAAGAUGCCUAUGGCGAGGACAUUGUGAGUGACGGGAAUUAGAGAAAGGAAGAGGCUGGGUCUUUGGGCCAGAGCCUUGACCACAUCAGAGAAAGGAGGUGGCGGUUGGAUCACUACGUACUUCUGUUAAAUCAAGACCCCUAACCAGCAAAGUAAAAUAAAUUAGAGUAAAAGGCACUCUUAAACCUAAAA